rnacentral:rRNA from 1 species
GAUGAACGCUAGCGGCAGGCUUAAUACAUGCAAGGCGAGGGGGCAGCAAUGUCACCGUCGUACGGGUGCGUAACGCGUAUGUAACCUACCUAUCACUGGGGGAUAGCCCGGGGAAACCCGGAUUAAUACCGCAUAAUACAGGGGGCCCACAUGGGUCUAUUUGUUAAAGAUUUAUCGGUGGUAGAUGGGCAUGCGUUCGA